CUCUUAGCACUCCAGAGAUAGCAGUUUCUAUGGACAUGAAAUGAAAAUCCAGAUCAUCUUUCCCAGGAAUUCUUUUUUUUUUUGAGACGGAGUCUUGCUCUGUCACCCAGGCUGGAGUGCAAUGGUGGCGUGAUCUCGGCUCACGGCAACCUCUGCCUCCUGGGUUCAAGCGAUUCUCCUGCCUCAGCCUCCUGAGUAGCUGGGAUUACAGGUGCCCACCACCAUGCCCAGCUAAUUUUUGUAUUUUUAGUAGAGACGGGGUUUCACCAUGUUGGUCAGGCUGGUCUGGAACUCCUGACCUCGUGAUCCGCUUGCCCCAGCCUCCCAAAGUGCUGGGAUUAUAGGCGUGAGCCAUUGUGUCUGG
rnacentral:lncRNA from 1 species